rnacentral:rRNA from 1 species
AGAUUGAACGCUAGCGGGAUGCUUUACACAUGCAAGUCGAACGGCAGCGCGGACUUCGGUCUGGCGGCGAGUGGCGAACGGGUGAGUAAUAUAUCGGAACGUGCCCAGUAGCGGGGGAUAACUACGCGAAAGCGUGGCUAAUACCGCAUACGCCCUACGGGGGAAAGGGGGGAUCGCAAGACCUCUCACUAUUGGAGCGGCCGAUAUCGGAUUAGCUAGUUGGUGAGGUAAUGGCUCACCAAGGCGACGAUCCGUAACUGGUCUGAGAGGAUGAUCAGUCACACUGGAACUGAGACACGGUCCAGACUCCUACGGGAGCAGCAGUGGGAAUAUUGGACAAUGGGACGAAGCCUGAUCCAGCCAUCGCCGCGUGUGUGAAGAAGGU